UACAGAGGGUGCGAGCGUUAAUCGGAAUUACUGGGCGUAAAGCGUGCGUAGACGGUCAAGUAAGUCGGGUGUGAAAGCCCCGGGCUCAACCUGGGAAUUGCAUUCGAGACUGCGUGGCUAGGGUGCGGAAGAGGGAAGCGGAAUUUCCGGUGUAGCGGUGAAAUGCGUAGAUAUCGGAAGGAACACCAGUGGCGAAAGCGGCUUCCUGGCCUGUUCUUGACGCUGAGGCGCGAAAGCUAGGGGAGCAAACGGG
rnacentral:rRNA from 1 species